UAUACAUUUACUCGACAUUUGAAUCUUUAUGAACGCGGGAUGGUGAAUUCGCUGUCCUCUCCCGUUUAUUCGACUCUAUGAAACGCUUUUACAUCCUUUCAUUAUGAGAUUUGUGGUGAGCGGCCCUUUUGCAAAGUUGCAAAGAGUUUUCCUGCAACGAUUCCAGGAAGAAUUCGCUGGUAAAGCGAGAGAAACUGCUUGAAUCAAAAGCCCGCCAUGGCAGUGAGAGCAAAGGCGAUUGAUGCCGUUCUACAUCAGUCGAACGACUGAUUGCAACUCGUAUCUAGGACGUCCACCCUUUACUCUAUCACGCAGUACCUCAAAUACAAGGGCAAACUAGAGAGCUACUCUUCCAUAUGAAUACAACCAAGAACCGCAACAUAUUCUGCCACAGGAUAGUGAAAGUUGACAACCUGAGCCGUUUGUAUGAUCAUGAAAAUAUAAUAUUGUUUAAAAAUAUUUACUUUUCUGUGGAAUUCUACUUACAGUAUGACCUGCUUUUUUACUCUAACUUUCUAACUUUAUUCUCUCUUAUAAUAUCUCAUUCACUUUAGUAACAGUGCAUCCAGACGUUCCGUCAGAGUGUGCACUGUUGCAUUAAUCUCUUCUUAUAAUAAUAUCUCAUUCACUUUAGUAGCAGUGCAUCCAGACGUUCCGUCGGAGUGUGCACUGUUGCAUUAGCCCUUAUAAUAAUAUUUCAUUCUCUUUAGUAGCAAUACAUCCAUCCGUGCCGUUGGAGUGCACACUGUUGCAUUAACCCUUCUUAUAUUAUCUCGUUCACAUUGGUAGUGAAUGGUGGUGAAUGAGAGUUCAUUGUAUUUUAAGGCAUUUUGUUUUCUUUUUACAGCUUCAUCCAAGCACAAAGCUCAAAUGCGCAGAUGAGCUGUAUCGUGCUGAGGACUUCGUUACAUUGCGCUUAGCCGCAUUUUGUUCGAUGUGCCUGAGAUGCUAAUGCUGCCCUGAGUUGAAAUAUCCAUAUUACACAGACACUUAUUUUCUUGUAUAAUGGAAAGCUGAGCAAGUGUACUCAUAGCCCGCUUGAACGGGCUUGCCUUACAGCAUUGGUUGGAAAUAAAAGUUUGUGUGUAUGA